GACAGAGGGUGCGAACGUUGUUCGGAAUUACUGGGCGUAAAGCGCGUGUAGGCGGCAGCGCAAGUCGGGCGUGAAAUCCCACGGCUCAACCGUGGAAGUGCACUCGAAACUGCGCAGCUAGAGUCCUGGAGAGGAAGGUGGAAUGCUUGGUGUAGAGGUGAAAUUCGUAGAUAUCAAGCGGAACACCGGUGGCGAAGGCGGCCUUCUGGACAGUGACGUGACGCUGAGACGCGAAAGCGUGGGGAGCAAACAGGG
rnacentral:rRNA from 1 species